ensembl:lncRNA
ACACUGCUAAGGAAUAACAGGAUAUGCCCUUCUAAACAGUCUCAAACACCAUCACUCAUACCUACAAGUGGCACCUGUUAAGCGGUGGGAUAUAUUCGGCAGCAAGUGAACAGUCAGUUCUCGUAGUUGACGUGUCGGAAGCAGGAAAAAUCGGCAAGCGUAAGGAUCUGAAUGACUUUUCCAAGGGCCAGAUUGUGAUGGCUAGACGACUGGGUCAGAGCGUCUCCAAAACGGCAGGUCUUGUGGGGUGUUCCUGGUAUGCAGUGGUCAGUACCUACCAAAAGUGGUCCAAGGAAGGACAUCCAAAGAUCCAGUGACAAUCAAGGCUCACACUGAAAAUAUGAGCGAAA